AUCUUUUCAUGAUAGUGUUGAGUGGAAGGAUCUUUACUCCAAGUAUGGUGAUGAGAUGAUUUUGAAAGUAAAGGAAAAAUUUGAACCUAUUGACAUAGGAAAUGAAGAGAAGUUCGAAAAAAUGAUAAUCACUACUAUGCAAAAUGUCUUUAAAAAUUGGAAGACGAACUUACACACUCAUUCUAAGAAAUAUGACACUACUGAGGAGAGGCUGGGUAACACACCUCAAACUAUUAGCUCUCAGGAUUGGGAGUCGUUAAUGACAUAUUUUCAGUCUGACAAGUUCAAGGUAUAUUACCGUCCCUUUAAGUAAAUCAUAUUUUUACUUCUGCUAUUACAUCCUGCUUACUCGCCAAAUGUGUCGUAGCAAAAAAGUAUAAGAAACAUUCAAAAUCGAGAAAAACAAGUGACUAAGCAUACUUGUGGCCCUUGAUCAUUUGCGAAAGUUGAAUUCUUGAUAAGAAACCCCACAAGUGGACAGCCUGCUCCCCCUGAUCAGGUGUGGGAGGUAACACAUACUGGAAAGGCUGCAAACAGACAGUUAGUGCGGGUGGAUCUACAUUCUAGACAGA